ACAGUGCAUAUUUUAAUCAUAAUGUUCACAUCAGGAAGAGGAGGCUGCAAGCAUUCUCAUGUACCAGAUGAGGCUUUUUGAAUUGAUAGAUUUCUGCAGGCAAUUUGAUGAUAAAUGCCAACAGGUUUAGAAUUCUGAAUGCCUUUGGGCUAUAAUCUCACUUCUAGGAAUUUGUAUAAAUUAUCAUGAAUGAACAGAGGACAAUAUUGUUAUUUCAAGUGGAAUAAGAAGGAAAGACUUUUAUUUGAUUAUUAUUUACUUUGUUAUGUUUGGCUUAGCUGUCUCUGUAAUAAAUGUGAAUUAAUUCUAUUAGAAGAGAUCAGUAAUAAAAUUAGUUAGAAAAAAACAAGUCUGUCCAUGACUUUGAGCUCCAUUUGAGGGUUAUUUGUCCAAUGACUCUGGAGGUAGAUCCAAAGGCUGGCACACUGUGAGCAAGUGCGAUGGCCCUGGUUCUGUGCAGGCAAAUUCUAGGAGAGUUCAGCAAAGUACCAUGCUCUGAAGUUAUGAAUAAACGCAAAUAUAAGUUUCUAAAAACAGUAUUCAAACAAUCUCCCAUUUGCUUUUGAAGGUGCCGUCAAAUAUGCGGAAAAGUCCUGUUUCAGUUAACUGUUGACAUUCUCUGAACUGGGGCUGUUCCUCAAACUCUUUCUACUGCAAAUGCAUCACCAUGGAGUCCCACAGAAACAGAAGAGCAUCACCAAACAAGACCUGUCUCAAGCCAGGCCAUGUUAAAAGCAACAAGAACAAAUGGAACGUUUAACCCAGCAGGGUACAGUGAGGUGUGGUUAUGGAGAAGAGCUGGAUAUCACUCCACAGGAUAUGGAUAUACAUCCUGGACUUCAGUGAUCUCAACUCAUAACAAUGCCUCCAGCUGUGCUGAUUGGUUCCUAUGGAUGUUCACUCUACAGAGAGAGUGUGUCUCUGCCUCUCCCGGCCCUAGUGCUCUGAGAGGCCUGAGGCCCACAAUCUGAGGUCUACUGCCUGAGGGUGUGUGACAAGGAACUUCUCUACCAGGAGCUCUUCAGUGUGAGUGGUGACCUUGAGUGCUGCCAGAAGACAAGCGUUUGACCUCUCAUCCAAAAAGCAGGACUCACAGCAGACCUUGACACUGUGGUUCUCUGCCCCGCUUCAUCAGAGGCCUGAUGGGAAACGGGAGACAAAGAACCUGGAAUACAUGUGCCUUGGCCUUUGUCUCUCUGGACCUGGGGUGUGAGGCUGCCAUGGGACAGAACACCUCCUGCCCAAGGUGGCAGUGCCAGAGCUACAGGAUAAAUGCUGAAAAUAAUACCCUGGGGUGAGGGCCAAGGUCAUGGCCAGUGAGUGAAUCCAAAUCAAGUCAUAAAUUCAAGUAACCUGAAAAAUCAGAAGCUGAGGUACUGAGCCAAAAUGAGGCACUGAGCAAUAAGGGUGGCCAAGAGUGAAGAGAGGGAAUUAGUGCCACAGCUGAAGGUCAUCUCAGAGUCUCCUGUCUGGCCACAGCAGAGCUACACUCCCUGAGACAGAGAGAACCAGGUCUUUCAGGCAGCAGCCAGAAGCUUGCAAACUGAUUUGCUAGAACAUUCCACAUGCUCUCAGACAGCUCCCAAAGUUGACCGUGGUACUCCAUUCCAAGCUCAUCGCACAGAGAAAUCCCCAGAUUCUAAGUCCAAACAAGCCCGAUUCCAGGCUCCAAAGAAAAACCAACCCUCACUUCCAUGAAGCCCUACAAAACAUCCAGAGUAGAGUGAGCCAAGAAAUAGCCACAGUAGUUUAAAGAGGUCAAGACAAGCCUCGAAGAUACACUUAUGAAGCUGUAUGGAGAGGGGAGGGACGAGCAAUCCCUUACUUUAGCUAACAUACACACAUUUCCUUGUGUUCCCUCCUCUUCCUCUUGGGAUAUUUUCCUACAUGCCAAAUGCAAUAAGACUCCAAAGGAAAUCUGAGCUCUUGGCAAUUGUCUAAAUCAAAGUCUGGCAGAAAGGCUGGACUCUCUGUUAGAGGUGUAACCAGAGUGUUAAAAACUCAACAUGAACUGGUGAGGUGGUCUAGAAGGUUAAGGUGCCUGCUGCCAAGCAAGCCUGAUGACUUGAAUUCAAGCCUGAGACCCACAUGUCGAAAGGAGAUAACCAAUUCCAUAAAAUCUAUAAAAGACCUCCAUAUUCACACGGUGACAUGUAUAUAAACCUACAUGUUCGUAAACACACACACACAAUAAAGAAAUAAGCAUUUUUAAAAAUGUCACUACACACCCUGAAAAAUAAGACAUUUCAAAGCCCAGUUCUACUACUUGGAAAAAUUUUCUGACCAAAAAAAAAUUGAACAUGCCAGGCAGUGGUGGAGCAUACCUUUAAUCCCAACACUCCAGAGACAGAGACAGGUGGAUUUCUGUGAGUUUCAGUCCAGCCUGGUCAACAGAGCAAUUCCAGGACAGCCAGGGCUACACAAAGAGACCCUGACUUGAGAAAAAAAAAGAAAAAAGAAAAAAGAAAGAACACAUACAGUUAUCUCCAGUUUGCGCUCAUUAUUAACUCCAUUCUAUUAAAUUAUUAAAUGACCAUUGGUGAUUAUUGUUCCUGUACUAUCUGGAUUUGAAAUGUAACAAGUUCGGGGAAAUGUCGCUCUCUGUUCUGUUGUUUUGUUCUCCCUUCCUCCCCAUCACUGCUAGAAGGGAAGGGCAGAAAAGUCGGGGAGAGUCCCAGUACCUCACUGGCCUGAACCCUGUAAUUGGAGAGAGACUCAUCUUGGUGACAGGACAUGAAAGAGAUCCAGGUGGCACAGCAUUAACCUCGAGUUGAUUGUGAUUUUCUUCUCUGUGUUUUCCCAUGGAGAUCUAAAGAUUUACGACUUUAGAAAACCCAAAAAUUAAUAAAAAUAAAAAGCUUACUUUAUUCAAUUUAUUGAUACAUGAGUAAAAUUUACCACUUUUGUAAAACCUUUUAUUUUCUGGUAAGAGAAUUCAAGCCUGGCUUUGUA